CUGCCCAAUGAGGAAUUAAAUGGCCGCAGUAUUUUGACUGUGCAAAGGUAGCAUAAUUAUUAGUUUUUUAAUUGAAAGCUUGUAUGAAGGGUUGGACGAGAUAAAAUCUGUCUUUAUUUAAAUUACAAUAGAAUUUAACUUUUAAGUCAAAAGGCUUAAAUGUAUAUAAAAGACGAGAAGACCCUAUAGAUCUUUAUUUAAUUAAUAUUUUGAUAAUUUAAGAUUAUUUUAGUUUAAAGUUUUAAUUAAAUUUUAUUGGGGUAAUAUAGAGAUUAAAUAAAUUCUUUUUAUUUAUUACAUUGAUUUAUGAAUAUAUGAUCCAAUAUUAUUGAUUAUAAGAUUAAGUUACCUUAGGGAUAACAGCGUAAUUUUUUUGGAGAGCUCAUAUCGAUAAAAAAGUUUGCGACCUCGAUGUUGGAUUAAAAAUUAGCUUGGGUGCAGAAGCUCAAGAUUUUGGUCUGUUCGACCAUUAAAUUUUUACAUGAUCUGAGUUCAGACCGGCGUAAGCCAGGUCGGUUUCUAUCUUUAUUUAUCUAAAAUAUUUUAGUACGAAAGGACCAAAUAUUUAAUAUAAUUAUAUUUCUUUUUUGAAUAAUAUU
rnacentral:rRNA from 1 species